rnacentral:rRNA from 1 species
AACGAACGCUGGCGGCAGGCUUAACACAUGCAAGUCGAGCGCCCCGCAAGGGGAGCGGCAGACGGGUGAGUAACGCGUGGGAAUCUACCCAUCUCUACGGAAUAACGCAUGGAAACGUGUGCUAAUACCGUAUACGUCCUUCGGGAGAAAGAUUUAUCGGAGAUGGAUGAGCCCGCGUUGGAUUAGCUAGUUGGUGGGGUAAAGGCCUACCAAGGCGACGAUCCAUAGCUGGUCUGAGAGGAUGAUCAGCCACACUGGGACGGAGACACGGCCCAGACUCCUACGGGAGGCAGCAGUGGGGAAUAUUGGACAAUGGGUGCAAGCCUGAUCCAGCCAUGCCGCGUGAGUGAUGAAGGCCCUAGGGUUGUAAAGCUCUUUCACCGGUGAAGAUAAUGACGGUAACCGGAGAAGAAGCCCCGGCUAACUUCGUGCCAGCAGCCGCAGUAAAAC